AGAGUUUGAUCAUGGCUCAGGACGAACGCUGGCGGCGUGCCUAACACAUGCAAGUCAGGGAGAAAAGGGUAGCAAUAUCCUGAGUAAACCGGCGAACGGGUGAGUAACACGUAGGCAACUUACCUUAUGAACGGGAACAACCACGCGAAAGCGUGGCUAAUACCCGAUGAUAUUUCGGUACAGCAUUAUACUGAAAUCAAAGGCCCGCAAGGGCGUCAUAAGAUGGGCCUGCGUCCCAUUAGAUAGUUGGCGGGGUAACGGCCCACCAAGUCGAUGAUGGGUAGCUGGUCUGAGAGGACGACCAGCCACACUGGAACUGCGACACGGUCCAGACUUCUACGGAAGGCAGCAGUGAGGAAUAUUGCUCAAUGGGCGAAAGCCUGAAGCAGCGACGCCGCGUGAGGGAUGAAAUCCGUUAGGAUGUAAACCUCUUUUGCGAGGGAAGAAUACUCCGUUUUACGGAGGGUGACUGUACCUCGUGAAUAAGCACCGGCCAACUACGUGCCAGCAGCCGCGGUAAUACGUAGGGUGCAAGCGUUGUCCGGAAUUACUGGGUGUAAAGGGUCCGCAGGCGGGCUGACAAGUCGGUGGUGAAAGUUCACGGCUCAACCGUGAAAUUGCCUUCGAUACUGUCAGUCUUGAGUUCGAGAGAGGAUAAUGGAAUUCAUGGUAGCGGUGAAAUGUGUAGAGAUCAUGAAGAACACCGGUAGCGAAGGCGGUUAUCUGGCUCGAAACUGACGCUCAGGGACGAAAGCGUGGGUAGCAAACAGGAUUAGAUACCCUAGUAGUCC
rnacentral:rRNA from 1 species